GUAGGCUCAAAUGCAUAAAGCCCAACCAUCAGGGCAACAUACACCUCUUCUCAAAGAGAGGCCUGGUGCUGAGACUCAUUCCGGAGCCUUCUCCACAAGGUCAACACCAUCAUCAUCAUCAGAGGAGUCUGUGUCAUCCGCCCAAAGUGGAGAUGACCACAAACCAGCAUUCAGUGAAGGGAGGGGGUCCCGGUCGUCCAACAGCAGUGGAUCAGAAAAGGACCACAUUGAUUUGCAUGAAGCUAAGGCCCUCAAGGCAAAAUGUAAAUCAAAACAAAAAGGUAUGAAAUCGAAAGGAACAGAGAAGUUAAAUGAUGGCCAAAAAAGGAACUACCACCAAUCUUCGUGGAUGUGACACGUGCCUCAGAAAAUACGCACAAGAGAGCAAGGCCAAAAACCCAGAACUGUUGAGGUCAACAAAAUUAAGGAAGCAUGUUGCUACCUUAUGUCAGCUUCUCGACCUUCUCGAUAAAACUUUCCAAGUGGUGAAGAUUGCCAAACUACUGUUUGCAAUGGAACGUGGGACAGAGUCGCUUGAAGGGAAAGAGUCUGCAAACCCUGGACUCUGUUAUAUCACUGGUAUGUAAAUGAAUAUAUUUUUAAAGUCAUCCCCUUCCAUUUAUUCUUUUCUCCCUCUGUCUUUGUUUCCACGAAAGUGUGCAUGUCUUUAUCGGCAUAUUUUCUUUUACCUUCAUAUUUUAGUGUAAAAUUAUGUUUUCUGAUUUCUGACUGUGAAUAUUUCAAAAGGAAGAGCACAUGUAGCCACCUCAACCAAAGGUCUGAAAGGUGGCAAAAAGAGAAGACCAGAUCCAGGGAGACGACAGGAAGCUCAAGAUGAAUGAGAAGUGCCACAUUCAGCUGUAGCAACGAGAUCUGAUGAUGAAGAUGAUGGAGGCGGUAACAGUACCAACUUGGACACUGAAAACACAGGCACCUACAAAAGGCCACCGAAGAUGCAGUCAAUUAAAGAAAGAAAUUAUGCUGAUGACGCUGAUGACGACAUGAGUGAUGUUUCUGGCAGUGAAUAUGGCGAUGGAGGGGUGUGCCG